CAAUAGCGUAUAUUUAAGUUGCUGCAGUUAAAAAGCUCGUAGUUGGAUUUCGGGGCGGGCCGACCGGUCUGCCGAUGGGUACGCACUGGUCGGCGCGUCCUUCCUUCCGGAGACCGCCUCUGUUCUUAACUGAAUGGGUGCGGGAGACGGAUCGUUUACUUUGAAAAAAUCAGAGUGUUUCAAGCAGGCAGCUCGCUCUUGCAUGGAUUAGCAUGGGAUAAUGAAAUAGGACUUUGGUGCUAUUUUGUUGGUUUCGAACACCGAAGUAAUGAUUAAAAGGGACAGUCAGGGGCACUCGUAUUCCGCCGAGAGAGGUGAAAUUCUCAGACCAGCGGAAGACGAACCACUGCGAAAGCAUUUGCCAGGGAUGUUUUCACUGA
rnacentral:rRNA from 1 species